UCGAGAGGCUUUGGCAAUGGGGGAAACCCUGACCAAGCGACGCCGCGUGGAGGAUGAAGGCCCUUGGGUUGUAAACUCCUUUUGUCGGGGAAGAAAUGCGAUCAGGUAAACAAUCUGGUCGUUUGACGGUACCCGACGAAUAAGCUCCGGCUAACUCCGUGCCAGCAGCCGCGGUAACACGGGGGGAGCAAGCGUUGUUCGGAAUCACUGGGCGUAAAGGGCGUGUAGGCGGUCAAGUAAGUGGGAUGUGAAAUGCCCCGGCUUACCCGGGGAGCGUCAUCUCAAACUGCUUGGCUAGAGUAUGGGAGAGGAUGAGGGAAUUCCUGGUGUAGCGGUGAAAUGCGUAGAUAUCAGGAGGAACACCGGUGGCGAAAGCGCUCAUCUGGCCCAAUACUGACGCUGAGGCGCGAAAGCUAGGGGAGCAAACGGGAUUAGAUACCCCGGUAGUCCUAGCCGUAAACGGUGAGCACUAGGUGUUGGAGGCAUCGACCCCUCCAGUGCCGCAGCUAACGCAUUAAGUGCUCCGCCUGGGGAGUACGGCCGCAAGGUUGA
rnacentral:rRNA from 1 species